AUUGAACGCUGGCGGCAUGCUUUACACAUGCAAGUCGAACGGUAACAGGUCUUCGGAUGCUGACGAGUGGCGAACGGGUGAGUAAUACAUCGGAACGUGCCCGAUCGUGGGGGAUAACGAGGCGAAAGCUUUGCUAAUACCGCAUAAGAUCUAUGGAUGAAAGCAGGGGACCGCAAGGCCUUGCGCGAACGGAGCGGCCGAUGGCAGAUUAGGUAGUUGGUGGGGUAAAGGCUUACCAAGCCUACGAUCUGUAGCUGGUCUGAGAGGACGACCAGCCACACUGGGACUGAGACACGGCCCAGACUCCUACGGGAGGCAGCAGUGGGGAAUUUUGGACAAUGGGCGCAAGCCUGAUCCAGCCAUGCCGCGUGCAGGAUGAAGGCCUUCGGGUUGUAAACUGCUUUUGUACGGAACGAAAAGGUUCGGGUUAAUACCCUGGGCCCAUGACGGUACCGUAAGAAUAAGCACCGGCUAACUACGUGCCAGCCGCCGCGGUAAUAC
rnacentral:rRNA from 1 species